UCAUGUACUUGAGUCUGCUCAGUUCAUGUUUUUCCUUAUCAUAGUUUCUCGCAUGUGCCUGUUCAGGAUCAUGUUCGUGUCCGUUGACAUAGUUACCUCAGUUUAGUUUUUUCUGUUUAUGUUUCAGGUUUAUUUUCGCCCAUGUUGCUUUAUUUUGUACUCAUGUAUCAGCCAUAAUACACAGCUCGCUUUUUGUUUAUCCUUAGUUCCGUCUCCCUCCGUGUGUGCAGUUGGGUCCCUCUCACUCCCCACACAGUCUGCUUCAGUUUUGGUGUGAGUUCCCUGUCUGCACGGACCAGGCCGUGUAACAAUUCCAGGUGAGCUGCUGGAAAUUUCCACUGGGUUCCAGAUUCACCUGUGUCCGCCAAGACCUGCGUUGUCAUGUCACCGCCAGUUUGUCAACUAACCCAUACUCCAGUCCAUACUCUCUGCUCUUCACACGCCACCUCUUGGAAAGCUUCCAGCUCUACACCUGCCUGCCCUCCUGUCACCUUUUGCUCGGUGGAUCUCUCGAACCCAGGUCAGCCAUUCCACUCCGCGCAGCUCACCCGGAGCUACACCUUCUCCCAUCAAAUCUACUCCAACUCCACCUGCAACUGCUACCACACCCGCUUCCAGCCGUGACUCAGUCCACCUCGUUAGUGCCUCACCCCUCACCCUGCUAAGUUGUAUACUGUAUAUAUUCUAAGUUGCCACGUUUCUAUGCCAAGUUAUUAUGUUGUGU